GAAUGUAAACAGAAAUGGCUCCCGAGAAUGAUAGGUUGUCACUACACACCCUGAGACAUAACCACAGUUACCUACAAGCACUGCUGAUGAAACUACAGGAAAGAAAACUAACCAAAAUGGACAGUAUCAGUAUGGCUGGAUACAACACUUUCUCUAGGAGUGCUGCAUUUAGUGUUAACUGCCACAAGGUGACAGUGUUUCAGAGCAUUACAGGUUUUACAGUUCCUACCUUGUGUUCUUAGGAUGCUGUACUGUGAAGACAGACUGCAGAUGCAAAGACUGCAAGCCAUAACUUGAAAGCCUACGAGGCCUUGCCCACAGCAACUGUCAAGACAAACAAUUACUCUGGCUCCGGUAGAGAACUGGGAUCGGCUCACACCACUUGCACCAAGCAGCUUUGGAACUAUGCUGGGGACCAUUGUCAGCAACCAUUAAUCCUAGGUAUUUAAAUUCUUUCACUCUUCUAAGCUAUCUGCCUGUAAUAUCCUUUAUGGUGGGUCCUCCUCCCUCAGUUAUUCAGUUUUACCAGUGUUUGCUCAACCCUAUAUUGCCAUUGCUCAAAGUUGGUUUGCAGGGUCUUACAAUCUUCUGCACAAAUCACUAAGUCAUUAGCGAACAACAUAUUCCAAGGCAUCUCCCUUCAUAUAGUCUCAUGUAUCACAUCCAUGUAAACAAAAAGGGCUCAAUACUCUCCCCGAUGCGAGCCAACGUUUACUGUAAAUUCUUUGGUUUAGCCCCACUGGAUUUUGACUGCGGUAGUCACUCUAUCAUAUAUAUCCUGGAUAAGGCAGCCAUAUACUUCUGGUACACCUCUCUGUUGCAAACUCCACCAAACUAAUUCUCUCAGUACAUGACCGUAUGCCUUAGCCAAGUCUACAAAGACCAUGCCCAGUUGCCAUCUCUUUUCCCUGAACUUCCCUAGGAGGAUUUGUGGAGCAAAUAUGACAUCAACAGUGCACCCUUCCAGCAUAAAUCUUUCAAUAAUCUUCUCCCAGACUUUCAUAGCAAGUGAUGUCAGCUUAACUGAGUGAUAAUAUCGCAUAGUAUAAUAUCUCCUUUAUGUUUAAAAAUGGGCACCACAAAACUUUUAUGCCACUCAUCCAGCAUUUUCUCUUUCUUAAGAAUAUCAUGCUCUUAGAUUCUGAUUCAUCACUCUUUCAAAAUAAUCACUCCAGACUUUGUUGGUUAAAUCACCAUUUGUUUGCAAUAUACACCUCUACCUCGAUAUAACACUGUCCUCGGGAGCCAAAAAUCUUACUGCAUUAUAGGUGAAACCGCAUUAUAUCAAACUUGCUUUGAUCUGCCGGAGUGCGUA